GACGAACGCUGGCGGCGUGCUUAACACAUGCAAGUCGAACGGAAAGGCCCUGCUUUUGUGGGGUGCUCGAGUGGCGAACGGGUGAGUAACACGUGAGUAACCUGCCCUUGACUUUGGGAUAACUUCAGGAAACUGGGGCUAAUACCGGAUAGGAGCUCCUGCUUCAUGGUGGGGGUUGGAAAGUUUCGGCGGUUGGGGAUGGACUCGCGGCUUAUCAGCUUGUUGGUGGGGUAGUGGCUUACCAAGGCUUUGACGGGUAGCCGGCCUGAGAGGGUGACCGGCCACAUUGGGACUGAGAUAAGGCCCAGACUCCUACGGGAGGCAGCAGUGGGGAAUAUUGCACAAUGGGCGGAAGCCUGAAGCAGCAACGCCGCGUGCGGGAUGACGGCCUUCGGGUUGUAAACCGCUUUCGCCUGUGACGAAGCGUGAGUGACGGUAAUGGGUAAAGAAGCACCGGCUAACUACGUG
rnacentral:rRNA from 1 species